AUGCUCCCAGUAUGGCACUGGGCUGCUCCCAGUACACCCCAGCCCCCCCUGACGCCCCCGUUUCCCCCCCAGGCCCAGUCCCGGCGCGUGGCCGCGCUCCAGGCGGCGCUGGCGGCGCUGGGGGACACUGGGGGUGACACUGGUGACACUGGGGGUGACACUGGUGGUGACACUGGGGGGGACAUGGCGGAUCUGCCCCAGUUCCACCGCGCCGUGCUGGGGCUGCGCCGCGCCCGCGCCGUGCUGCAGCGCUGCCUGGCUCAGGGCGCCCCGCGGGUUCUGGGAUCUCUGGGGUCUCUGGGGGUCUCUGGGGUCUCUCUAAUGGGUCUGGGGUCCGCAGCGCUGCCUGGCCCAGGGGGCCCCGCGGGUUCUGGGGGCUCUGGGGGUCUCUGGGGGUCCCUGGGGUCUCUGGGGGGGUCUCUGGGUCUCUCUAAUGGGUCUGGGGUCGGCAGCGCUGCCUGGCCCAGGGCGCUCCGUGGGUUCUGGGGUCCCUGGGGGCUCUGGGGGGGUCUCUGGGGUCUCUCUAAUGGGUCUGGGGUCUGCAGCGCUGCCUGGCCCAGGGCGCCCCGUGGGUUCUGGGGUCUCUGGGGGUCUCUGGGGGUCUCUGGGGUCUCUAAUGGGUCUGGGGUCCGCAGCGCUGCCUGGCCCAGGGCGCUCCGUGGGUUCUGGGGGCUCUGGGGGGGGCUCUGGGGGGGUCUCUGGGGUCUCUCUAAUGGGUCUGGGGUCUGCAGCGCUGCCUGGCCCAGGGCGCCCCGUGGGUUCUGGGGUCUCUGGGGGUCUCUGGGGGUCUCUGGGGUCUCUCUAAUGGGUCUGGGGUCGGCAGCGCUGCCUGGCCCAGGGCACCCCGCGGGUUCUGGGGGCUCUGGGGGUCUCUGGGGGUCUCUGGGGGUCUCUGGGGUCUCUCUAAUGGGUCUGGGGUCCGCAGCGCUGCCUGGCUCAGGGCGCCCCGCGGGUUCUGGCCCCGGGCCGGGUGAUCGUGGUGAGCACGGCGAGGCACCGCAACGCGCUGGGGCUGGUGCUGCAGGUGAGCUCCGUGGGCUCUGGCCGUGUUUUCACCACCCUGGUGCUCAGUGAGAAGCCCCCAGACCCCCCCAAUCCCCCCCCAAAUUCCCCCCACACCUGUCCCCAGGUGAGCUCCGUGGGCUCUGGCCGUGUUUUCACCCCCCCAAAUCCCCCCACACCUGUCCCCAGGUGAGCUCCGUGGGCUCUGGCCGUGUUUUCACCCCCCCAGACCCCCCCCAAACCUGUCCCCAGGUGAGCUCCGUGGGCUCUGGCCGUGUUUUCACCCCCCCAUAUCCCCCCACACCUGUGCCCAGGUGAGCUCCGUGGGCUCUGGCCGUGUUUUCACCACCCUGGUGCUCAGUGAGAAGCCC
rnacentral:lncRNA from 1 species